UCUAACUAUCAAACUGUCCUCUCUCGCCCUCUCAUCUCCUCCAAACCCACGCAACCACCUCUCGACUCUUCCACUCUUUAAUCAACCGAGACCCCAAAGGCCCCGUGGCCUCCACUGGCUGGUUAACCCAAACACGAGCCUAACCAGACCCUAAACUCUCAUAUCUUCACUAUUUGAACUUUAGGUCAUUCUCUGCAACAUUGAUUUUCUGUGAUUAAACUUUAGGCAAAAGCUGAUGAAAUUGCAAAGCUAAUGAAUGAGAAUGAGCAACUCAAAGCUGUGAUUGGGGAUUUGAAGUGAGGCUGGAACGGCUAGGAGGCAAAGCGGGAUGAACUACAACUAAGCCUCUACACACAAGUUAUGGUUGCCUUCUCACCCGUUCGGUUUGGUUAUCAAAUGGAUGAUGUAUCAUUGUUUUUUAAGGUGUGUACUGGUUAAACCUCUCUUUUCCUAAGCUCUACGUUCUCAUAUGCACAUACAAUCUGAACACUAUUUUUCCUUUUCCCUCUAAAUUAUUUUUCCUGAUUCAGUACAUUGUUGCAGGGCAUAUGCCAAUUAUUUGAGUUGUUUUUUUCUUAUAUAUUUGAAACAUUUGGUUUGCAAAACAUGAAUUCAAGUGCAAACACUUCAACUGAAUCUCUUAAUUAUCGGUUAAAGAAUGCCUUAUCAAGAAUAACACAAGAUUGUGAAGAGUGGAUAAAAAAAUCAUCAGGAUCCUUCUCAUUUCUGCUUUGAGUUAUUUGAAAGUAAAUGAAUAUUAUUAAAUAAAUGGUUGAAGUAGCAUGUGGUCUAGAUUUUAUUUCCACCUUUUGUAUGUAAGGGUAAAUUAA